UACGUAUGGUGCAAGCGUUAUCCGGAUUUACUGGGUGUAAAGGGUGAGUAGGCGGCGAGGUAAGUCACAUGUGAAAUUUCGGAGCUCAACUCCGAAGCCGCAUGAGGAACUGUCUGGCUAGAGUGCAGGAGAGGUAAGCGGAAUUCCUAGUGUAGCGGUGAAAUGCGUAGAUAUUAGGAAGAACACCGGUGGCGAAGGCGGCUUACUGGACUGUUACUGACGCUGAGUCACGAAAGCGUGGGGAGCGAACAGG
rnacentral:rRNA from 1 species